rnacentral:rRNA from 1 species
GACGAACGCUGGCGGCGUGCCUAAUACAUGCAAGUAGAACGCUGAAGGAGGAGCUUGCUUCUCUGGAUGAGUUGCGAACGGGUGAGUAACGCGUAGGUAACCUGCCUGGUAGCGGGGGAUAACUAUUGGAAACGAUAGCUAAUACCGCAUAAGAGUAGGUGUUGCAUGACAUUUACUUAAAAGGUGCAAUUGCAUCACUACCAGAUGGACCUGCGUUGUAUUAGCUAGUUGGUGAGGUAACGGCUCACCAAGGCAACGAUACAUAGCCGACCUGAGAGGGUGAUCGGCCACACUGGGACUGAGACACGGCCCAGACUCCUACGGGAGGCAGCAGUAGGGAAUCUUCGGCAAUGGACGGAAGUCUGACCGAGCAACGCCGCGUGAGUGAAGAAGGUUUUCGGAUCGUAAAGCUCUGUUGUAAGAGAAGAACGAGUGUGAGAGUGGAAAGUUCACACUGUGACGGUAGCUUACCAGAAAGGGACGGCUAACUACGUG